rnacentral:rRNA from 1 species
GGGGGGCAAGCGUUGUUCGGAAUUACUGGGCGUAAAGGGCUCGUAGGUGGCCAACUAAGUCAGACGUGAAAUCCCUCAGCUCAACUGGGGAACUGCGUCUGAUACUGGUUGGCUUGAGUGCAGGAGAGGAACGCGGAAUUCCAGGUGUAGCGGUGAAAUGCGUAGAUAUCUGGAGGAACACCGGUGGCGAAGGCGGCGUUCUGGACUGUAACUGACACUGAUGAACGAAAGCGUGGGGAGCGAACAGG